rnacentral:pre_miRNA from 1 species
ACGUGAAUCACCCAGGGAUCUUGUUGAAAUGCAGAUGUUUUUCAGGGAUGGGCCCGGGAUUCUGCAUUUCUAACAAGCUCCUAGGUGAUGCCACU